UAGCUUUGUAGUCGCAGAUCUA
rnacentral:siRNA from 1 species